rnacentral:rRNA from 1 species
UACAGGGGGGGCAAGCGUUGUUCGGAAUCACUGGGCGUAAAGCGCACGUAGGCGGCUUUCUAAGUCAGGGGUGAAAUCCUGGAGCUCAACUCCAGAACUGCCUUUGAUACUGGAAAGCUUGAGUUCGGGAGAGGUGAGUGGAACUGCGAGUGUAGAGGUGAAAUUCGUAGAUAUUCGCAAGAACACCAGUGGCGAAGGCGGCUUACUGGUCCGGUUCUGACGCUGAGGCGCGAAAGCGUGGGGAGCAAACAGG